UCCAAAUUGUUUAAAAAUAUAUUUUAAAACUUUCAGUUCUACACAUUCCAAUUUUGGAAUUCCAUUGGUUUAUAAACCUGAAAUAGAUCUUGGUUAAGGUCGAAAGUGUUUGUUUGAUUUCAUUAAACAUUUUAUUUGGGUUACUGGAUUUUAAAAGGUUUUUUGGUGUUUGUCAGUACUUCCAAUUUAAAGCAGUGGCACUUGUCGGAAAUACUGUUUUGGCUGAAGCCUGGGAUAAAACAAAAAAAGAUGCAAAAAAGCAUGCUGCUGAAUUAGCUUUGAAGAAACUUGAUGGACGAGAUGAAACGAAUAAAAACAAUUCGAGUAAUUGCCAGAUUGAAAACAGGGAUGGAUUGCCAAAACUUGAGCAGAAACACAGAAUUCCACCUCUCAAUUCUGUUGUUCAUUUUCCUGUUGAUGGACAACCAGGUGUUAUUCCUAUUUCUCAACAAAAAACCAACUUAUGUAACUUAUCUUCUAUGAUUGUAGAAACCUUGAAAAAUGAAGAAGGUAAUCAAAUAAUGAUUUUAUAUUAUAAUAAUUGUUCUUCAAAGUUAUGUUUUAUAUAAUUGGAUAUGUAACUCAUGUCAGACAAAUGCAAUUAUAUAAAUACUUUUUAUUUUAUUAUUAUUUUUAUAUUGGGUUUAGAGGGUUAU